ensembl:lncRNA
CAAAAUACUGCUGACGCCCAUCCCUAUCUAUCUGUCUGUCUAUGGAGUGGAAAGGUAGUGGAAAUCAGGAGUCAUGCACUGAAAAGAGCAGAAAGUGGACUGCUGAAAGUCAGAAAGUUGUGGGAAAAGUAGAGGGCUCGUGCAUCUCAGAUAGAAGAAAAAGAUCCAUUAUAACAAAGGGCAAAAAGACCCAGGGCUGACCCUUUAAGGACACCUUCACUAGUCCAAGUGCCUCUUACAUGUGCAGAGACUUUUUGCCUGACAAGAAUCUGUUGAAUGUCUCUGUCAGCACAGAGGGAUGGAAACACAACAGAAAGGUAAGGGAAAGGUGCAGGAGGCCGAUAGUAGGGCAGGACAAGGAGAACUGGGUUGUCAGGGUGAAAAAGUCACUGACAAUGAUGAUACUUCCUAAACGGCAUGAGUAUCCUUGACUUAAUGGGCAAGGAUAAGGAGACAAACACUGCUCACUAUAGCAAGUCUUCCUCCAUUGCGCUGCAAUGGCACCGCAGGAGAAAAAUGACCUUGUCAUGUUACUUCAUGGCUAUUGCCAGGUCAUUUUUAUAUCUUCUGCCAAACUGAGAAGUUACAUUCCUAGGAAAUGCAGAACCCAGGAUAAUGGCAGGGAAGUGGACAGUAAGGUUUUUGGGAUAAUGGAAAUUAAUCCUCAGUGAAACAAAAGCAGCCUGGGGAAAAUGGUUGUCUCUUUGAUUUUCUGCAGUGUCCCCCACUCCCUCCCUUGCUUAUCUCUUAAUGUAUUUGUUUCACUGUGCUGAUACCAAGUGGUAGAAGCACAGGGAGUAGAAAAGGAACAUGUUAGGAUGUUUCAGUAGAAUGACAAGGACCUAGAAAUUAAUUCAAAAGAGAAGGAAAUAGAGCAGUAAUGAAUAAAGAAGAACAUAUUUUAAGUAUUAAUUUUCUUCUCCCAAGGAAAUUGAGGAAUGAUUGUUUGAAGGAGAGAAAAGACAUGGGAGAGAAAAGAACUGUGUGCACUGUCUUGUGCUACACCAGUAGAAGGGGAGGAAGGAGGGUCCACAGCAGAGGCCUGGCAGGCUGGUGGAGUUGAAAGAAGACCUUUCCAUUUCUUGUUGUCCAGCUGGCUUGUUGCAAACUGAUGAUUGCUAGUCCCAUGAUAUCUUUGAUAGCAUGUCUGAUGUACUAAUGAGGAGAAGCUGAGGAUAUAUUUGGUAGCAUGUCUGAUGUACUAAUGAGAAGCUCCAUUCACUACUCAAAAGAGGGAUUAGGACUCACAUCACCAUUCUAGCUUGUCACUCACCAAGGAAUUAAAACCUUAUUUGAAAGUGGAAUUUACUGACCCCACAAGAGAGCCUCGGGCUAAGGAAAUGAUGCUUUAAACAUGAGAUCACUGAAAUAAAAUAAUGCAUUAGCUAGAGAGCUUUCAGCUUUCCAAGCUGUGGCAGAAAGCCACUGGGCAACAUUACAUAGAGGCAUCUGAUUCGUACUCCAGCCAGAUCAUCACAAAUGCUGUUGUCAUUUCAUCUGCUGCAGAAAUAGUGAAGAUCUGCAGAGAUUCCAGGAGAUAGAUAGCAUUUAAAGAGUUUGUAUGUCUAGUAUGGAAGAAGUUUUGAUGUGCGUCUUUCCUAAUGGAGGAAAAUAUCUACUACUGUCCUGGUUUUAUCACUGACAACUGGCCAUGUUGACCAGAAUGCUUCAGUAUCUUUGGAGAAAAGAACCUGGAACCUCAUGAACCAACUCUCUCAUGAGGGAGGACUCUGAGCCUCCCAAGAGUGAAGCUUCAGUUUUCAUUUGAUCACAGAGACUGAUGAAAUCUCCACUCUGGAUGAAUUCAAUUGGAUCUGAGUUCCCCUAAGGAUGGAGCACCACUGAGUGCCCUACAGCUCAUGUCAUGCCUGCAGAUCAUCCUUCAGAGGGCAGUUCCCUGGAUGUACAGUGCAAACUGAUACAUCUCUAAGGACUGAAAGAGUAGGCAGCUCCUACAUGGAGGGAAACCCAGGCUAGCAAGAAGCAGAGGCUCAUUAAUGCAGCCAAGACUGUUUUGCCUUCUUUUUCAGUGGAGAAAGAAUAAUGUGGUAACAAGGCUGUUGAAGCUGAAUUCCCUACUCCCUCAUACAUGUCCAUCCAAUAAUGUCUCACCAGGACAAGGAAUUUUUUUCUUCCUGUUUUGAUUUUGCUUGCUUAUUUGUGUGUCUCUCCCUUACUUUUGUUGCACAUCUUCAGGCACUCAUGUGUAUUUGUCUGAUCUCAUACCAGAGAUGGAUCAUGGGACCACAGUGACAAAACUGUACUGUGGGUCUUGGGAAGUUACCAGUGCAGAUAAAUGAAUGCUUGAAGGGUUUAGAUGCAACACAUCACUUCCGUGACACUGAAUUUCGAAGCAGUUAAGUGAAACCAAAUAAUUAAUAUACUUUCACUUAGUUUAAUAUCACACCCUAGUGUCAUGUGUUGUAUUUUUCCACAUUGAUCUCAGUUUCUUGCCUCUGCCUCUGAAUAGUACGACCUUGAAGAUGCAGCAGCAGCCACACUACUGAUCAUGCUUUCAGGAAAGUGACAAGACAAGUCUGCUUUUUAGAGGUAGAUUUUUUGCCAAGGCAUCAGACUUCAAAUGUUUCUGCCAAGGAGUUUAGAAAGCUUUCAAGCUCUUUUCUUUUAUCUAUUCCUGGAAGAGAAGCCUUGAGAUACAGUUCCUUCUACCAGUGAGCAUGAAGUACCCUGUUUGUUGGGAAGAUUUCAACUCCUGAUGACAUGUUUGCAGUAGACUGAUCAGAAAAGACAGGUUAUUCUUGAAAUAAGACCAAACUGAUACCUUGAAUAUUUAUAAGUCACCAUGAUUGGAUGACAUUUUCCUGAAAGUCGUGAAGGAAUUCAAAUGUGAAACCGUGAACUGCUGGCCAAGCUGUAUAACCUGUCAUUAAUGUGUCUGUGCCAGAAUCCUUGUGGAUUGCCAGUGUAACUCCUGCUAUGAAAAACGUGGGAUGCUGAAGGUUGAUUCAAUGUAGCUACAGCUCUUGAGAGAUAAUUUCCCCCUGAUUAAGCAAGGUGGACCAGACUGCCAUUGACAGAGGAGUAAUCCCUUACCUCCAAAAGACUGAGAAAAGUUGGAGAAAUUCCUGAGCUUCCCUCAGAGGAGGCACUGUUACAGGCAGUUGGAAGCCUGUGUCACUGGGUGUCUUUCAGAGGAAUUUGGACAAAAAUGAAGCAGGCCUUGAGCAGGCAAUGGGAAGCACCAAUUGGCCUCAGAAGGGACCUCCCCACACUGUCAUCAUAGAAUCACAGAAUCAUUAAGGUUGGAGAAGACCUCUAAGAUCAUCUAGUCCGCCUAUCACCAAUACUGCCCACUAAACCAUGUCCCUAAGUACGACAUCUACAUGUUUCUUGAACACCUCCAGGAUGGUGACUUUACCACCUCCCUGGACAGCUUGCUCUCAGCCAGCACCAGAGCAUAACUGACCAGUGUGUCUCAUCUGUGUGGCCAUGACUGCUGCCAGCCUCUCAGCUACCCAGACCUGUCAGAAAGCAAGGGUUUGUUGCUGACACUCCACUGGAACUAUCUCCUUCCCUUCUGACACAUGAACUGCCUGCCUGGCAGUCUCUGGACUGUGUCUAACACUGGUUAGCAGCAUGGAGACUGACUCCGGCCUACAGAUCAACUUCCCAGCUGGACCUUGGACCUGCUUGUCAUUACAGUCUUUCCGGAUGACUUGGUCUCGCAGCUGAACCUGGCUCCUGUAAUUGGGCCUCCCCUGCUCAUCUUGCAUAGACAUUGUUGUAAGACAGGCCCUGUUUGCCAAGCCCCUGUACUGCCAGCCUUGUUAUAUCUGUCUCAUCUCCUGGCUCCCUGUUACUUAGGGACUAGAUGGGUCCCUCUCCAUCCUCAGAGAGAAGAAAGAUAUCCCAUCAAAGCGCAGCAUCUCUGUACCACCAUUCAAGUCCUACUCCCCCUCUGCAAGUCCAGUCUUCUCUCCUGUGAAGCCUCACCAUUAUCUUUCCCUCUCAAGGAUGUCUCUAAGUUGUCCAUACCCAGCCAACUCAUCCUGCUCUGAUGGCACCUUUACCAUGCUGGCAGUGGUGAAAAGGACAGCAUGAAGGGAGGAAGCUGGAAUGGAACAGGGUAGGGUGCUGGGAGGCAGACAUGGUCAGUGGGUGAUCAGAGGCCAUGUGUGUGAGGGUUGAUGCUGGAAAGCAUGAUUGAGAAGCACCUGUGGAGAGUGGGACCUGAGCUCAGUGAGAGCCUGCUGUGCUAGCUGGCAGGCGAGGUGGGACAUUGUGCUAUGCUGUCAGGAAGGUGGCCAGCAGAUUCCUCAGCGAUGGGGUAGCGCUGAAUGACCUCAUAGCACAAAUGGUCUGUGCAGCUGGUGGACAACUCUGAGCACCCUGCAUGUGCCGAGGAGAGCUCAGGGCCCCAGCUUUCUGUCCAGGAGGCAGCCCCCUCCUUGUAACACCUGCCUGCCUACUGGGCUAGAGGGGUGGAGGAGUUGGAAGCUUGUAAAUUUAUUAAUAGAAGAAUAUGUAGGAAGGCAAUGGGGAAAAUCAAAGAGCUAUUCACACUCCAGCAUCAGGCGCUAAGCUGGUUCUGAAAAGAUGUGAGAAAACUGCAUGCUGGUAAUGAAGAAUCUGUGGUUGUUUUGAAAGCUACCAUCAGUGAUGUUCUGUGAAAAGGUUUAUCGUCAGUUUGAAUAUGUUUAGGCAAUCUGGCUAUUGCCGUAAACUUCAACAUAAAGAGAGCAGUCCUGUUAUAAGGAGCUUGAUGUUCAUAUUUAUCAGUCUUCUCUCUCAUGUGGCCCUGCUGAUAAGCCUCUAUACUAGUGUGGUGCCAAAGAAUUCUGUUCUGGAUUCAAAUGGUCACCAAAUCUUUUGCCACUCUAUGUGCUCUUGUACAGAAAGGGAACUGAAGAAACAUUUGGGGUCAGGUAACUCUGACAUGAGAGUACAUACCCCACCACCUAAUACAAAGGGAGCAUUCACACUAGGGCCAAUACCAGAGGAACUGAGUAUCCUGCUGGUGAUGUAUUGGAGCAGCCAGUUCCCUCAGUAGUUCUUUUGAUACUUGCUGAAGCCUGGUGGAGUUAUCUGUGAAGGGGCAGUGAUGCUGUCUGAGUACUCACUGAUAGGAAUUCAGCCCUGAGGCUUUGAGGUUGUGUACAGUGUGUACUUUGAAGUUCUGCUGCUAUUCUGAUGAGGGUGAAAGGGUAUCUUCACCAGUGAAGAGGAACAAGGAAAAAGUCACUACUACUUCUUUGUUACUCUAGUUGCCGUAUCUGGCUUUUGGGAAUGUUCAUAUUCCAUUGUUUCUCUGCAUGCUGCCCAUUCUGAGCCAUGCAUACAAGGGAAAGAAUAUUUACUAUGCUGGUAAACCCAACAAUUCAGGGGUGAAGAAGGAGGCAUUUUUGUAAUGUUUUCAGACAACAUUGAUCAACCACAAUAUUUGUGUGCAUCACAGAGUACAAACACAUCAUAAAGGAUUUUUUGCAGUAAAAAAUAUAAAACCAUCUGAACAGAAGAGCCAUUAAAACCCAUUUGUGAAUCCUUCCUUCUUCCAUAUGUCCUCUUUCAUUCACCUCCACUGUUUUUUUUUUGUUUGUUUGUUUGUUUUCUGA